GGGUUGUGAGGUUAAGCGACUAAGCGUACACGGUGGAUGCCCUGGCAGUCAGAGGCGAUGAAGGACGUGCUAAUCUGCGAUAAGCGUCGGUAAGGUGAUAUGAACCGUUAUAACCGGCGAUUUCCGAAUGGGGAAACCCAGUGUGAUUCGUCACACUAUCAUUAACUGAAUCCAUAGGUUAAUGAGGCGAACCGGGGGAACUGAAACAUCUAAGUACCCCGAGGAAAAGAAAUCAACCGAGAUUCCCCCAGUAGCGGCGAGCGAACGGGGAGCAGCCCAGAGCCUGAAUCAGUGUGUGUGUUAGUGGAAGCGUCUGGAAAGGCGUGCGAUACAGGGUGACAGCCCCGUACACAAAAAUGCACAUGCUGUGAGCUCGAUGAGUAGGGCGGGACACGUGGUAUCCUGUCUGAAUAUGGGGGGACCAUCCUCCAAGGCUAAAUACUCCUGACUGACCGAUAGUGAACCAGUACCGUGAGGGAAAGGCGAAAAGAACCCCGGCGAGGGGAGUGAAAAAGAACCUGAAACCGUGUACGUACAAGCAGUGGGAGCAC
rnacentral:rRNA from 1 species